rnacentral:tRNA from 1 species
UAUGAAAUGGCAGAACUAAUGCAUAAGCCUUAAGAGCUUAGUAUGGCUAUCUAGCCUUUCAUAA